rnacentral:tRNA from 1 species
GUGGGUACAGCUUGGUGCUAGAGCAUGUGCUUAGCAAGCACAAGGUCCUGGGUUCAGUCCCCAGUACCUCCA